GGGUCUAUAGGCUCAAUGGUAAACCGCCGGUCUCCAAAACCGGUUUUGCAGGUUCGAAUCCUGCUGGACCCG
rnacentral:tRNA from 1 species